UACGUAGGGUGCAAGCGUUGUCCGGAAUUAUUGGGCGUAAAGAGCUCGUAGGCGGCCUGUCGCGUCGGAUGUGAAAAUCCAAGGCUCAACCUUGGACCUGCAUUCGAUACGGGCAGGCUAGAGUUCGGUAGGGGAGACUGGAAUUCCAGGUGUAGCGGUGAAAUGCGUAGAUAUCAGGAGGAACACCGGUGGCGAAGGCGGGUCUCUGGGCCGAUACUGACGCUGAGGAGCGAAAGCGUGGGGAGCGAACAGG
rnacentral:rRNA from 1 species